rnacentral:rRNA from 1 species
AUUGAACGCUGGCGGCAGGCUUAACACAUGCAAGUCGAGCGGAGAUGAGGUGCUUGCACCUUAUCUUAGCGGCGGACGGGUGAGUAAUGCUUAGGAAUCUGCCUAUUAGUGGGGGACAACAUUCCGAAAGGAAUGCUAAUACCGCAUACGUCCUACGGGAGAAAGCAGGGGAUCUUCGGACCUUGCGCUAAUAGAUGCGCCUAAGUCGGAUUAGCUAGUUGGUGGGGUAAAGGCCUACCAAGGCGACGAUCUGUAGCGGGUCUGAGAGGAUGAUCCGCCACACUGGGACUGAGACACGGCCCAGACUCCUACGGGAGGCAGCAGUGGGGAAUAUUGGACAAUGGGGGAAACCCUGAUCCAGCCAUGCCGCGUGUGUGAAGAAGGCCUUAUGGUUGUAAAGCACUUUAAGCGAGGAGGAGGCUACUGAGACUAAUACUCUUGGAUAGUGGACGUUACCCGCAGAAUAAGCACCGGCUAACUCUGUGCCAGCAGCCGCGGUAA